UUCACAAACCUGGAUGAUUGAUGAUGAUGAUGAAGAGGAUGAUCUACUACCACCACCCUCACAAGCUAAACGGAGAGCAAUCAAGCCCAUUCUGCCAUCUUCACAAACCUGGAUGAUUGAUGAUGAUGAUCCACUACUACCACCAUCACAAGCUAAACCGACAGAGGUCAACCCAAUUUCUCCAUCUUCACAAACCUGGAUGAUUGAUGAUUAUGAUCCACUACCACCCACACAAGCUAAACGGAGAGAGAUCAAGGCAAUUCCCUCAUCUUCACAAACCUGGAUGAUUGAUGAUGAUCAAGAGGAUGAUCCACUACCACCCUCACAAGCUAAACGGAGAGCGAUCAAGCCCAUUCCUCCAUCUUCACAUACCUGGAUGAUUGAUGAUGAUCCACUACCACCAUCACAAGCUAAACAGAGAGAGAUCAAACCAAUUUCUCCAUCUUCACAAAACAGGCAGUCCUCUUCACUGCAAUCUGAAAUCCUAGAUGAUGAUAAGGACUCUUUUAUAUCGGACGAAAUGUUUGAUGAUUCACGGGACAGUGAUUUUGUUUUGAAUUCCAAUUCAGAGUCUGAUUCUAGUGAUGUUGUCCCAAUAAUUGACAUAGGUGCUUUUAAAACUGUAAAAAAUGAUCAAAAUGACAAGAUAUUCUUUAAAGAUAUGCCCUUGGUGAAUUAAAGCUAGAAAAUGCUAGUUUUAUCAAAUCAACACUUCUAAGGAAAUACAUUGCUACAACAACACAGGUGCUUAAUAUUUCUGAGAAUCAACUUGGAUGGAUUACUAAUCAUUUAGGACACAACAUCAACGUACAUAAAGAUUUUUACCGAGUUAUGUCUUCCACUAUUGAAAAAACGAAAGUAGCAAAAUUAUUAUUGCUGGCAGAUAGUGGUUCAAUAACCAAUUAUUAUGGGAAGACGAUUGACGAAAUAGAUUUUGAAAGCUCUGCUGGUGACUUUCUUGUGAAAGAUGAUGAAGAACAAGAUAUUGUUGAUGAUGAGAUUAAUAUUAAUGAUAGAUUACAGCCACUUGAGAAAAGAAAGAGUAGUAGUCUAGAAGUAGUUAAGAGAAAGAAACAAAAGAAUGAAAUUAUUGAAGGACCCACAUGUAGUAACGAUACACAGAGAAAUAUGUUGCAGAUUUCAGAUAAUAAUGAUGAGAUUGGAUCACAGCCACUUGAGAAAAGAAAGAGUAGUAGUAGUCCAGAAGUAGGAGGACCUACAUGCAGUAACGAUAAACAGACAAAUAGGUUGGAGACUUCAGAUAGUAAUGUUUGGAACAAAGAAAAGAGAGGGGCCUAUAAUGAAGUGUUUUUUAAACUUGUCCAAUUACGAGGAAAAAUGCUGAAAAAAGAAGAAAUAGUAUCCCUCAAAAACAAGAACCCAAUUUUAAAGAAAAUGACCUAUGACAAAAUUAAAAAUAAAAUAAAUGCAGAUGUACAGAAAAUAAGACGAAAUAAAGACAAAAACUAAAAAUAAUUUGCAGAUGUACAGAAAAUAAGACCAAAUA